rnacentral:rRNA from 1 species
GACGAACCGUCCUAACGUUGUUCGGAAUCACUGGGCUUAAAGGGCGCGUAGGCGGGCCGCCAAGUCUGAGGUGAAAUCUUUCGGCUUAACCGGAAAAUAGCCUUGGAUACUGGCAGUCUCGAGGGUGGUAGGGGCAUGUGGAACUUCCGGUGGAGCGGUGAAAUGCGUUGAUAUCGGAAGGAACGCCGGUGGCGAAAGCGACGUGCUGGACCACUACUGACGCUGAGGCGCGAAAGCCAGGGGAGCAAACGGG